AUUGAACGCUGGCGGCAGGCCUAACACAUGCAAGUCGAGCGAGCGGCGGACGGGUGAGUAAUGUAUGGGGACUGCCCGAUAGAGGGGGAUAACUACUGGAAACGGUGGCUAAUACCGCAUACUAUCGGAUAACCCAUAUAGGAUUAGCUAGUAGGUGGGGUAAAGGCUCACCUAGGCGACGAUCUCUAGCUGGUCUGAGAGGAUGAUCAGCCACAGUGUGACUGAGACACGGCCCAGACUCCAAGGGAGGAAGCAGUGGGGAAUAUUGCACAAGGGGCGCAAGCCUGAUGCAGCCAUGCCGCGUGAAUGAAGAAGGCCGUAGGGUUGUAAAGUAAUAUCAGCGGGGAGGAGUGACCCGCAGAAGAAGCACCGGCUAACUCCGUGCCAGCAGCCGCGGUAAUAC
rnacentral:rRNA from 1 species